rnacentral:lncRNA from 1 species
GAGCUCUGGGUUCCUAGAGCCCACCUGCGUCCUGCCUGCUGCCUGCCCAGCACCUUGUUCCAUCACAAUCUGUGCCCCCGGCAUCACAAAGGGGGGCCACAAAACGGGCCCGGCUGAGGGGGCAGGAGCCCCGCUGGCUAGCCCCGCUUUCCCCGAGGAAUAAUCCAUCUCCCAGCAUUUAGGAAGCGCCCAUUAAGUUCUGGGCUCUUGGGACAGGAGUGUUCUCCUGGGGAGAUUCCCCAAGCCCGGGACCAGGAGUGUUGGGCCGGAGGGAGCUCAGGAGCUGCCCGGCCCAACCCUCUCCUUUUAGGAGCGACCGCUGAGGCUGGAGGAGAGACACAGGCUACGGGGCUGGGAACUGGAGUCAUGCUCUCUCAUCCUUGGUACCGUGUCCCCUCCCAGAACCACAGGUGGCCAGCUGCCGGAGGACGGGGACUUAACCACAGGUGAAACAAAAGGUAAACGAGAAUGGAACCUUAAACUGGAGGCCGGUGAGCUCGGCUUCGAUUCCUGGCAAAGUUUUAUAAUAUAUAAUUAAAGGGGUGAUCAGUGACCUUCUAGAAAGGGAUUAAAGGGCCAGGGUGGGGUAGGGAGACAGCCCAUGGAUUCUUCUGUUUUCAGUUUAUUCUUUGGUUUUACUACACUUGAAAUGAUUUUAUUUAUUUCCCAUCUUUUAAUAUGGUAUGUAGGCUUUAAAAAAUGAUGAUUUUUAGAUAGAUGAUGAUGAUGAUAGAUGAUUUUUUUCUUGACCCCUUUUCUAGGAUACUUUUUUUUUUUUUUAAUGGUAUAUACUUUUAAGUUCUUCUUUUUUGAUCUUUUUGUCACCGGGUGAUGGGGUGGGAGCAGUUGAGCAGCCGUCAGCAUCCUUCACUGGUGUAAUUUCCCCCGUGUGGGAGCCUGAUUCGAGACGGGCAGAUGGCAUGGAAUGGAAAGUGCCCUGGGGAGAUGUGGACCGUGCCCGAGCGGGGUCUUGGCUGGUUUAGCCAUGUCUUCUGUACCAGACACUCCCCCUCUCGGCUUCCCACAAUCCCGCCUUAGUCCCUUUUGUUGACAGGGUUGUUAAAGUGGUAAACAUGCUGUAGAUAGAACUUUAGUGAAAGUUCCCCCAGAUUGUGGAAACACACUUGACAAAGUCUCUCACACGUCUUAAAGAUGGAGAGGUGGCCUGGAUCAGGGCUUCGUAAACAUGUUCCUGG